rnacentral:sRNA from 1 species
GAUUUGUUCUUGAAGUGUGACUAGGUGACUGCCUAUUCACCUGAGUUAUGGAGCCAUGUUCCAAAUCUUGUGCCUUCCUUCAGGUGUGUUUGGAAAGCACAAAUGUGUACCUCAGUAGUUUCUUCUCUUGGUGGCAAUUUGGAAUGGGUGGGAUACUCCCCGCCCCAACUCCCUCCCCUGCCCCUGCCCCGGGAGGUAUCUUUGGCCAUCACCGAGGACACAGGAAGGCACUCUGGGAGAUGCCUGUCUCAUGACGGGCUUCCUUAUUAACUGUGCCUGUGUCUCCUUCGCGAGGCUCAUACCUUCUUUGGUUUUCAUGAGAAACCAAAAAUAUUGCAUUCACUGUUUUUUUUCUGAAUCGGAGUGUGAUCAACUGCUUACGGGCUCUCAGGCUGACUCCCUGAGCAUGGGCAUGGCAGCACCUGGCAGCAUCCCUGUGGUACGAGCCCAGCCUGUGGUGCUGGGGAUGAAGGAGAAACUGAGAACUCUGUGUUGUCUUUCUCAGACAAGCCCUUCAUGUAUUGUAUUUUCUUUAAAGCCUGUUCUUUAGGGUCCAGGUCAAAAUAUGUACCAAUUUGCUGGCAAUAGGUCCCUCUUUAAAACAGUGAAUUUUUUUGGGUAUUUUAUUAUGAAAAAUUUCAAACGUACAAAAAAGACAAAAGAAUUUAUACUGUGAGCACCUAUAGCUGGUACCUGGAUUCUACAACUGGAUUUUGCUCUGUUUCCAGCAUAGUUUAGCCUGUUCUAGAAUUUAACAUAAAUACUUAUAUACUCCUCCUGUGUAAAGCCCUUUGGCUUGGUGUGUUUUUGAUACUCAUCCAUGUUGCUGCGUGUAUCAGGAGUUUGCUCCUUUUUAACAGUGGACUUUUGAGCGAUCAUUGGAAGUACCCAGAGCAUUGACAUAGGAGUCCUCCUUGCCAAAUGGAAAGACUGCCAUUGACCUUACCAGCCAACCAAAGAGGGGCAGGACAUUUGGAAAAUCAAGUGGAUUCUCCAGCUGGGCUGUUAGAAAAGAACUCACUUCUGUGGAGAAUCACUGGAUUUUAUAGGCUUAGCUCUAGAAAGCAUCAUUUUGUCAUCUUCUGAAAUGACAAUAAUUAUCCAAUUACAUCUCUCCUUUCUGUCAUUUUACACCCACAGUUGAAGAUUCCUGUCUCUGGAUCCAAGUCAGAGGGCCUUCUCUACGUCCACUCAUCCAGAGGUGGCCCCUUUCAGAGGUGGCACCUUGACGAGGUCUUUUUAGAGCUCAAGGAUGGUCAGCAGAUUCCUGUGUUCAAGCUCAGUGGGGAAAACGGUGAUGAAGUGAAAAAGGAGUAGAGACGACCCAGAAGACCCAGCUUGCUUCUAGUCCAUCCUUCCCUCAUCUCUACCAUAUGGCCACUGGGGUGGUGGCCCAUCUCAGUGACAGACACUCCUGCAACCCAGUUUUCCAGCCACCAGUGGGAUGAUGGUAUGUGCCAGCACAUGGUAAUUUUGGUGUAAUUCUAACUUGGGCACAACGAAUGCUAUUUGUCAUUUUUAAACUGAAUCCGAAAGAAACUCCUAUUAUAAAUUUAAGAUAAUGUAAUGUAUUUGAAAGUGCUUUGUAUAAAAAAAGCACAUGAUAAAAGGAAUCAGAAUUAAUAAAAUGUUUGUUGAUCUUU